UACGAAGGGGGCGAGCGUUGUUCGGAAUCACUGGGCGUAAAGGGCGCGUAGGCGGCCCUCCUUGUCGCGUGUGAAAGCCCCGGGCUCAACCUGGGAACGGCGCGCGAGACGGGGGGGCUGGAGUUCGGGAGAGGUGAGUGGAACUGCGAGUGUAGAGGUGAAAUUCGUAGAUAUUCGCAAGAACACCAGUGGCGAAGGCGGCUCACUGGCCCGAUACUGACGCUGAGGCACGAAAGCGUGGGGAGCAAACAGG
rnacentral:rRNA from 1 species